GACGAACGCUGGCGGCGUGCCUAAUACAUGCAAGUCGAGCGGAAAUUUUAUUGGUGCUUGCACCUUUAAAAUUUUAGCGGCGGACGGGUGAGUAACACGUGGGUAACCUACCUUAUAGAUCGGGAUAACUCCGGGAAACCGGGGCUAAUACCGAAUAAUACUUUUUAACACAUGUUUGAAAGUUGAAAGACGGUCUUGCUGUCACUAUAAGAUGGACCGGCGGCGCAUUAGCUAGUUGGUGAGGUAACGGCUCACCAAGGCAACGAUGCGUAGCCGACCUGAGAGGGUGAUCGGCCACACUGGGACUGAGACACGGCCCAGACUCCUACGGGAGGCAGCAGUAGGGAAUCUUCCACAAUGGACGAAAGUCUGAUGGAGCAACGCCGCGUGAGUGAAGAAGGAUUUCGGUUCGUAAAACUCUGUUGCAAGGGAAGAACAAGUAGCGUAGUAACUGGCGCUACCUUGACGGUACCUUGUUAGAAAGCCACGGCUAACUACGUGCCAGCCGCCGCAGUAAAAC
rnacentral:rRNA from 1 species